UCGGGGUCGAAAAAUAAAUAAAUAAAUACAUACAUAAAUAAAGCAUUUACAGAUGCAGGACUUAUGUCCAGCCGAAUACAGUACGUCGCUACGGUACCUACUGAACAUAAAACAAAGGUCAUGGUGCAGGAGUGAAGAGAAUGUAUUUAAAACCUGGAGCUGAUUACAGUACGUGUGAUGAAUAUAGAAACCAGGUGACAGAACCAACCUCCUACCGUCUUUAACCCUGUAUUAGACAGAGAGCUGGAUCGGCGGAGAGAAAGAGAGGGAAUCGGAGACGAUGGGGACGUGCUGCCAGUGUUGGUUUGGCUCUGUACAGGAAAUCCAGACUGACAGAUGGACUCGGGAGUAUUGACCAGAGUGGAUCUCGGCUAUACAGUGACGAAAUCAAAGCACACGCCAAACAAAUGAGGAGGACAAAGAGAUGAUACACGUCAUUAACAACCUCAAAUUUUGCCCAGUUGCCCCUAAACUGUUGGCACAUUUAAUCAAGCGAGUCAGCCUCUAUAAACAACAACAACAGUCAUUUACAGCUUUUCCAAUAACACACGAGACGACGGAUCAGGAAACGAGCGCCCGGUGCCUGCGGGCUGUCAGGACCAGAACAGAAGGAGAAGGAUGGAAAAAGCAGUUUGCGGUUUUCACAUUCGAUUGAUUGCACACGCCAUUGAUUUGUUGCUAAGCCGUGUGCGUUUGUUUAAGACGGAUCUACGUGGUGCGAGGCAGACUAUCGUGUAGCAAAGAGCAAACAAGACGUGAUAAUGGAGGGUCGAGCCACUCGAUGGGAUGCAGGGUGUGUACUGUACGUACCGCCGAAGCUUUCUGAUCGCUGGACAUCAGCAAUCAGAACAACUAAAUAUAGACACUCGGGUUUUUCCUCUGAGAAGUUUCUAGCUAACACUCGUCACACCAAAACUCUUUAAACUGCCCACUUUCCCUUCGAGUCAUGUCUACUCCGAUUGGGCGACGUAUGCUUUUAGUUUCUCAUCCCAAACAUUACGGAUGCUACAGAAUGGAAUUUAACCCAAGUCUAGUUUUUCGCUUCUUCACACCAUUCUGUGUGGGGGUUUUUUUUCUUUCCACCGUUUGGUGGUAAGUUUGGAGAAAGAAAAAAAUAAUUGUGAAUAAUCUGAUGUCGAUCGCUGAAAUAAUGAAGCUAUGAAUAAAUAAAUAAAUUAUAUUUUUGCAGUAGAAUGGUCUGAUGGUUGAAGACACUGGUGGCUCAAACAGUUAAGGCUCUGGGUCGUUGAUUGGAGGAUCAAGGUUCAAGCCCCAGCAUUACCGAUAGCACUGUUGGGCCCCUGAGCAAGGCCCUUGAUGCUCUCUGCUCCAGUAGUGCUGUAUAAUGACUGACACUGACUUCCAAAUUCAGGAUAUGUAAAGAAAAAAUUUCACUGAUGUGUCAAAAUAAA